rnacentral:rRNA from 1 species
AUAUUGAACAGUGUGGGGAACCAUGAUCCAGCCAUGCCCCGGGUGUGAAUAAGGUUUUCGGAUUGUAAAGCACUUUAAGCUGGUAGGAAGGGCUUUAUGUCAAUACCCGGAUGUUUCGUCGUUAUUAACAGAAUAAGCACCGGCUAACUCUGUGCCAGCAUCCGCGGUAAUACAGAGGGUGCAAGCGUUAAUCGUAAUUACUGGGCGUAAAGCGCGCGUAGGUGGUUCAGUAAGAUGGAUGUGAAAUCCCCGGGAUUAAACUGGGAACUGCUUUCAUAACUGCUGAGCUAGAGUACGGUACAGGGUAGUCGAAUUUCCUGUGUAGCGGUGAAAUGCGUAGAUAUAGGAAGGAACACCAGUGGCGAAGGCGACCACCUGGGCUAAUACUGACACUGAGGUGCGAAAGCGUGGGGAGCAAACAG